CAGUGUGUUAAAAUAAGAAGCGGGUGCAGUCUCCACUUCCUGGAGCGUUUGCUUUUGUUCUUUCUUGGUUUUAGUCUAAAAUAAGUCAUUCCGAAUGAAAGCCUAUUUUUGUUCUUUGUGGGUGGAAGAAACUUACCUCCCUCGGUUCUCAUACUGUGCACAUCACCAUGAUAUAUGCACACACAGUGUUAGUAUCUGGGAGAUACCAGAUAAAAAUUUCAGUUACGUUGAUCUGCUAGUCACGUGCUAGAAGCAGGAAUAAAAGUUCCUCUUCAAAAUAUGGAGAGGUUUUUUUUACAGCAUUGUGCUUUCCACCCCUCAGCAUUUUGUAAAUGAAGGAAACGUCUGAAGGGAUCACUUGAGCAUGAAGAAAGACACCCUGACUGUAGGAUGGAGAUUUUGGAGGCAUGGGCUCGAAACACAAGCACUUUGGAGGAGGAUUCUCAAAAAGGGGUCCAGCAGGGUUCUCCUGGACCAGCAGCGGAUGGUUUGUUCUGCAGGGCGGAAGCUGUCUCUUACUUUAUGCCGUACCUCAUCAGUGCUCUGCACUGCCUCUGAACAUGCCGUAAGAGGAGUGGCACGUUUUCCUGGAGUGAGGAAGUGCUUAAAAUCUGAGUCUGGAAAGGCUGCCGGGAAGCAGGUCCUAACUGAAAAGAACAGAUUUAUCUGCAUGAGGAUGUCGUGGCCUUGCCCAUCUGAGUCAGGAUGCGGCCAUCGCAGUGUGAGCUGCAGAGCCUGA
ensembl:lncRNA